rnacentral:siRNA from 1 species
UCAUGUUCCCUUAGCCGUUCC